rnacentral:rRNA from 1 species
GAUGAACGCUGGCGGCGUGCCUAAUACAUGCAAGUCGAGCGAACGGACGAGAAGCUUGCUUCUCUGAUGUUAGCGGCGGACGGGUGAGUAACACGUGGAUAACCUACCUAUAAGACUGGGAUAACUUCGGGAGACCGGAGCUAAUACCGGAUAAUAUUUUGAACCGCAUGGUUCAAAAGUGAAAGACGGUCUUGCUGUCACUUAUAGAUGGAUCCGCGCUGCAUUAGCUAGUUGGUAAGGUGACGGCUUACCAAGGCAACGAUGCAUAGCCGACCUGAGAGGGUGAUCGGCCACACUGGAACUGAGACACGGUCCAGACUCCUACGGGAGGCAGCAGUAGGGAAUCUUCCGCAAUGGGCGAAAGCCUGACGGAGCAACGCCGCGUGAGUGAUGAAGGUCUUCGGAUCGUAAAACUCUGUUAUUAGGGAAGAACAUAUGUGUAAGUAACUGUGCACAUCUUGACGGUACCUAAUCAGAAAGCCACGGCUAACUACGUG